CACCCGAGAGCACCGCCACCGGUAAGCUUUAGUUUUUCGUGAUUUGUUGGCCCACCGAGGGCCCUAAGGUUGUUUUAUCGCAGGGACCGAUGCAAGUGUGGCCGAAUUCGAUCGGAAACGGCCGAAAACGGCCAACCCGAGGUGAAUUACCGCCGCCCGUCACCGGAGCACGGUGGAGCCGCCGUGCCAGAAUUGCGAUAUUGGCUGAAAGGGACUCUAGGUCUAAUUUGGGAUUUUUUGGGACACGUGCAGGUACCAGUAGUGCGUUUCAGCUCCCCGGGAAAACUCAGGAAAAAUUAGGGACAGCCUGUAGGCGCACUGUAGAGCCGUAUUCAGACCCCGAAACAAGUAAGGACCCCUCACCCUAUUUCCUAUCACGGUAUUAAAGUUCAAUAAAAAAAUAAAACGGUAUUUCAUGAAUCAAUAGAUGUGUGAAAUUAUUGAAGGUCGCUAAUGGAGCCCGAGUCUGGUGUAUUUGACGGUCAGUUGUGUUUGUCCUAUUUUACAGUUUUAAAUGCAGUAUGAUGUCUGAUGUUCUCAUUUCAUAGUUUCGUGUGCAUAUAUCACUAUUUUAUUGAUUAUGGGUUGAAUGACUGAGAAUCCG
rnacentral:lncRNA from 1 species